GUCUCCAAGGAUCAAGUAGAGGUAGGCGCCUCUUUCUCCCUUCCCUCACAUCUCACGUCUAUCUCCCUCUCUCGUCCCCUUUCUCCCGGCUAGUCUUGGCGUCGCCGGCGAGCGACGCCGGACGCCGAUCGAUCUGCCUCCCUCUCGUUUAUCUGUCUCCCAAACUCUCCAUCCAACCGUCCCUCUCUCUCUCGGCCUCCCUCAGUCCCAGCCAGAAGUCGGCUGCUCCCCGUCGUCGCCGCUGCCGCUGACGGAGUACAGAAACUCUGGCCGAGAUUUACAAUGACAAAAAGAGGUCGUCCGUCGCGAUCUCAAUCAACAUAGGCUGCAGAGAAGCAGCUAUGACUGGAAAUCGACGAAGUAGUCGAUGAUGUUAUUCCAGUAGCCCUACCACAAAAAUUUAGGGAACGAUUGGCCGAGGCAGGCCCAAGUACGGCUCCAGAACAGGGUGAGCAGAAGAAAGCCAGAGGAAGAAAGGUCGACCAUCUGAAUUCCUCAACUGCUUGAAAACGUUGACUCCAAGACAGAAGGUAGUUGUUUCAGAAAUUGACUUCGGUGCGAUACUGCAUUUCGACCUAAAGGAGAUUCCUGGUUAUUUGGCCUACUAAGUGUUCAACGCCCUUAAUCUAGCACGAUACCAGAUACAGCUGACGGGGGGUGAGAGCCUGACCCUCGACGAGGAAAACGUCCAUUUGACGUUGGGGGUUUCCGAGAGGGCCGACACCAAUCUCAAGGCCGUUCGACAAACAGACCACCUUCGCCUUCAACGACAUGGUUGCUGAAAGGUGUCAGAAGGGUCGUUUUAAAAUGACCCCAAAGGACAUAGCUCAGCUCAUGAUGGUGGAAGUUGACGGUGGGGAAGAGUUCAAGAAGCUCUUUAUGUUCCUCCUCGAGAAUGUUGUAACUGAGACUCCCAGCGACGGCAACUGCAAGCCAAAGAUUCGUCAUUUCAUCGACGAUGUUGAUGAGAUAAGGAACAUGAAUUGGUGAGAUUACGUCCUCUCCGUGCUCGAGGCCACUCACCCCAGCUGGGCAAACGGCCAAAGUGUGUCAUUCACCGAACCUAUACAUUUCCUGGUGCAUCAAGUGUCGUGGAUAGAGAAGGAGGAACAAGUGCCCGACUAGAUUACUUAUCAUAAAGGAAUAAGAUAUCAGUGAGGUUUUGGUUGACGUGGGUCGUAGGAACUGCACGUGUUAUCAGGUUCGGCGGCUGACGCGUUUUGGCAACCUUCUCCUCCCCAUCAUUUUUCCAUAUAGAUAAAUGUAUAGUAUAUAGAGUGGUGAGAGGGUCUCACUACUGUUCAGAAUGUUUUAAAAUAUGUAUCUAAUAAAUGUUGGUUUUUGAACUUAUUAAUAUAUGUGUUUUACGUAGUUGACACGUGGAUUAUUUAUUUUAAAUUUUGGAUU